rnacentral:rRNA from 1 species
GACGAACGCUGGCGGCGGGCUUAACACAUGCAAGUCGAACGGAAAGGCCCUGCUUUUGUGGGGUGCUCGAGUGGCGAACGGGUGAGUAACACGUGAGUAACCUGCCCUUGACUUUGGGAUAACUUCAGGAAACUGGGGCUAAUACCGGAUAGGAGCUCCUGCUGCAUGGUGGGGGUUGGAAAGUUUCGGCGGGUGGGGAUGGACUCGCGGCUUAUCAGCUUGUUGGUGGGGUAGUGGCUUACCAAGGCUUUGACGGGUAGCCGGCCUGAGAGGGUGACCGGCCACAUUGGGACUGCGAUACGGCCCAGACUCCUACGGGAGGCAGCAGUGGGGAGUCUUGCACAAUGGGCGGAAGCCUGAUGCAGCAGCGCCGCGUGCGGGAUGACGGCCUUCGGGUUGUAAACCGCUUUCGCCUGUGACGAAGCGUGAGUGACGGUAAUGGGUAAAGAAGCACCGGCUAACUACGUG